UGCAAGUCGUGCGGACCUUUUAAAAGCUUGCUUUUAAAAGGUUAGCGGCGGACGGGUGAGUAACACGUGGGCAACCUGCCUGUAAGACUGGGAUAACGCCGGGAAACCGGGGCUAAUACCAGAUAGUUUUUUCCUCCGCAUGGAGGAAAAAGGAAAGGCGGCUUCGGCUGUCACUUACAGAUGGGCCCGCGGCGCAUUAGCUUGUUGGUGGGGUAACGGCUCACCAAGGCAACGAUGCGUAGCCGACCUGAGAGGGUGAUCGGCCACAUUGGGACUGAGACACGGCCCAAACUCCUACGGGAGGCAGCAGUAGGGAAUCUUCCGCAAUGGACGAAAGUCUGACGGAGCAACGCCGCGUGAGUGAAGAAGGCCUUCGGGUCGUAAAACUCUGUUGCCGGGGAAGAACAAGUGCCGUUCGAACAGGGCGGCGCCUUGACGGUACCCGGCCAGAAAGCCACGGCUAACUAC
rnacentral:rRNA from 1 species